ACUACGGGUGGCAGCAGUGAGGAAUAUUGGUCAAUGGCCGAGAGGCUGAACCAGCCAAGUCGCGUGAGGGAAGACGGCCCUACGGGUUGUAAACCUCUUUUGUCGGGGAGCAAAGCGAGUCACGUGUGACUCAUUGUGAGUACACGAAGAAAAAGCAUCGGCUAACUCUGUCCCCGCAGUCGCGGUAAUACGGAGGAUGCGAGCGUUAGACGGAUUGAUUGGGUUGAAAGAGUGCGCAGGCGGAGGUGCAAGUCAGUGGUCAAAUUGCGGGGCUCAACACCGUACUGCAGUUGAAACUGCAGGCCGUGAGUGCGCGAGAAGUAUGCGGAAUGCGUGGUGUAGCGGUGAAAUGCUUAGAUAUCACGCAGAACUCCGAUUGCGAAGGCAG
rnacentral:rRNA from 1 species